rnacentral:lncRNA from 1 species
GGGGGGUUCAUUUUCGGGGCCUUCCAAAACAGGAGGGAAUAGGGGGUUUGUCCUUCUUAAAUCAACUAUUCUUCAUUAAAUUCUAAAAAGCAGCCCCUUAUACCACUGAGACACCUUGAGGACAGGUGUGGCACUAGGAGUGAAAAAGAGGUGCUGUCCUAACUAGGAGCAACAGGGGUCUCUCUCCGGCAUAUUCUCUUACAUUAACCGGCCGCAAGCUAAACGAUCCAGACUAACAGCCUCUUAGAGAAACGUCACUGUAUCAGGUUGUGGGAAAUUCCUGAGCCUUUACAUAUUUUAUGUAUGAUUUGGUGAGUUUAAGUUUCUAUUUGUCUUCAGCGAGGUCAGUGUUGAGCCCUUGUAACAGAAUCCACAGCCGUCAUUCAGGAGCCGAGCCCGUCUCCAGAGUGACCUUCCUCAGCGGACACGCCCCGUCCACCUGUUCCACAGGUGCGCCCGGCAAGAUGGCGGCGGGGCGACCUUCUGCGGCUUUAGGUGACAAAAGUAUUUUAAGAAUGGGCCUCCAUUUAUGAAGAAGUUAUUUUUUCCGGGUUCAGCGGCUCUAUCCUCAGAGCUCAACCGAUCUCCUUUCCAGCAACGCGUCGUGCGAUGACAAGCUAUUCUUGACAAGGUGCUUUUCUUUCAAUUUCGGUUUCGACACCAUUGGCUUGAUCUGUAAUGUACCGAUGCAGUGAUGUAUCUUGCCCUUUAUUGCAGUAAAGUUCUGAACGUGCAUGGUUCGUGGUGACCGCUGCUAUGUGCUGUGCAUUCUGCAAUAAAAAUUGUUGAUCGCAUUUUCUGAAUUGUCUUGUAUUUUGUUUCAAAGUGUGGGGGAGGGGGU